rnacentral:lncRNA from 1 species
GAAACAGUGAAGGCCCAGAGAGAUUCAGUCACUUGCUCAAGGCCACAGGCUGGCAGCUGCAGGCCUAGAGCCCUUCUCAUGAAGAGCAGGAAGUACCCAAAGCCACAGCCAGGAUUAAAGAGUUGAUCUAAACCUUAGAUCUUAGCUUUAAGGUUGUAAUGUACAGUGAAUCUGGUUACAUGGAAAAGGAAACAGUAAUUGUUGAAGUAUGUUUUCUUAAGCUACAGAAUAAUUUUUGAAAUGUUUGCCUUUAAUCCGCAGACAGGCUCGCGUUUGAGAAAAUAUUUUCUUGCUGCUCAAGAUGAAUGUGAGUGUCUGAAGUACUGGAUCUUUGAGCUACAUUUUGUCAUUUUUUCAAAAAAUAAAAAGAUGAC